rnacentral:lncRNA from 1 species
AUAUUUUUUAAGGGUUAAUUUCAUACAGCUCCUUGUAAACACAUUGAAUAACAAAUAUAUCUCUACAAAGUUCAUCUUUUCAUAUUUAUUUCUGUAAAAGUUCAUUGAUAAUCAUAUUUGCCCCUUCAGUUUGUUAUCGUUAGAGCACUUUAUUUUUUAAUAGAAGAAAAGUGAAAUGAUAUUUUUACCAUCAUAAAUAUGUUCCUCCAAAAGCCCCAACUGUUAGAAUUAUGCGAAAAUAUCCUCCAAAAAAAUUUCAACGAUCAUCUUCCUUCUUUCUACCAUCACAUAUAAUAUAAGAAGGGUAAAAAAGCCAAUUUACCUCAUUCACUAAUCAUAAUGAACUAUUUUACCUAUGGUCAACUAUAUUUUUCUAACAGAUCCUAACAGCGGAAAUAUAUAUUUAAAAAUAUUAGAACUUUUGUGUAGUAUCCUUUUAUAUAUAUAUAUAUAUAUAUAUAUAUAUAUAUAUAUAUAUAUAUAUAUAUAUGCCACGUGCCCCCAAGUAUGCAUGCAUGCAUGCUUAUCCAUUUAGAGGGUUGCAACCUACGCCUCCUUAAUUAAAUUUCCUCUCUCUCUUUUCUCUGGAGCCGUACGCAACUAGGAGGAGAACCCGGUUGGAGCUCGUGUGUCGCCGACGUCGCGCCGCGGUACCGUAUGAGCAUGUGUUCGUCGUCGUAACAUCGCGAGAAGGCCGGGCGAGGGUGCGUUUACGUCGUUUUCGACGUCGCGCCGGAUUGGGUUUUGCGUUUGAGGUAGGUUUAUCAUCGAAUUUCUACUCCUAUAGCCUUGUUAGUCAACAUGUAUAGUUAGGAUAUCUGCGUUGGUACUGU